rnacentral:rRNA from 1 species
GACGAACGCUGGCGGCGUGCUUAACACAUGCAAGUCGAGCGGUAAGGCCCUUUCGGGGUACGACGAGCGGCGAACGGGUGAGUAACACGUGGGUGACCUGCCCUCAGCUCUGGGAUAAGCCUGGGAAACCGGGUCUAAUACUGGAUAUGACUCCAUGACGCAUGUUGGUGGGGUGGAAAGCCUUGUGCGGCUGAGGAUGGGCCCGCGGCCUAUCAGCUUGUUGGUGGGGUGANGGCCUACCAAGGCGACGACGGGUAGCCGGCCUGAGAGGGCGACCGGCCACACUGGGACUGAGACACGGCCCAGACUCCUACAGGAGGCAGCAGUGGGGAAUCUUGCGCAAUGGGCGAAAGCCUGACGCAGCGACGCCGCGUGAGGGAUG